GGCUCCCAGGCUCGAUGGGUAGGGGUUCUUAGUGGAAGGUCCCCCACACUGGCACUGAGAUACGGGCCAGACUCCUACGGGAGGCAGCAGUAGGGAAUAUUGGUCAAUGGGCGCAAGCCUGAACCAGCCAUGCCGCGUGCAGGAUGAAGGCUCUCUGAGUUGUAAACUGCUUUUGUACAGGAGCAAAAAAAUCCCUGCGGGGAUUCUUGAGAGUACUGUAAGAAUAAGCACCGGCUAAUUCCGUGCCAGCAGCCGCGGUAAUACGGGAGGUGCAAGCGUUAUCCGGUUUUAUUGGGUUUAAAGGGUGCGUAGGCGGCUUAUUAAGUCAGUUGUGAAAUCCUAGUGCUUAACGCUAGAACUGCGAUUGAUACUAUUAGGCUUGAGUUAAAA
rnacentral:rRNA from 1 species